rnacentral:rRNA from 1 species
UACCAUGCAGUCGAGCGGUAGCACAGAGAGCUUGCUCUCGGGUGACGAGCGGCGGACGGGUGAGUAAUGUCUGGGAAACUGCCUGAUGGAGGGGGAUAACUACUGGAAACGGUAGCUAAUACCGCAUAACGUCGCAAGACCAAAGAGGGGGACCUUCGGGCCUCUUGCCAUCAGAUGUGCCCAGAUGGGAUUAGCUAGUAGGUGGGGUAACGGCUCACCUAGGCGACGAUCCCUAGCUGGUCUGAGAGGAUGACCAGCCACACUGGAACUGAGACACGGUCCAGACUCCUACGGGAGGCAGCAGUGGGGAAUAUUGCACAAUGGGCGCAAGCCUGAUGCAGCCAUGCCGCGUGUAUGAAGAAGGCCUUCGGGUUGUAAAGUACUUUCAGCGAGGAGGAAGGUGUUGAGGUUAAUAACCUCAGCAAUUGACGUUACUCGCAGAAGAAGCACCGGCUAACUCCGUGCCAGCAGCCGCGGUAAUACGGAGGGUGCAAGCGUUAAUCGGAAUUACUGGGCGUAAAGCGCACGCAGGCGGUCUGUCAAGUCGGAUGUGAAAUCCCCGGGCUCAACCUGGGAACUGCAUUCGAAACUGGCAG